rnacentral:rRNA from 1 species
AUUGAACGCUGGCGGCAGGCCUAACACAUGCAAGUCGAACGAGUGGCGGACGUGUGAGUAAUGGAUGGGAAACUGCCCGAUGGAGGGGGAUAACUACUGGAAACGGUAGCUACUACCGCCUACCAUCGGAUGUGCCCAGGUGGGAGUAGCUAGUAGGUGGGGUAACGGCUCACCUAGGCGACGAUCCCUAGCUGGUCUGAGAGGAUGACCAGCCACACUGGAACUGAGACACGGUCCAGACUCCUACGGGAGGCAGCAGUGGGGAAUAUUGCACAAUGGGCGCAAGCCUGAUGCAGCCAUGCCGCGUGUAUGAAGAAGGCCUUCGGGUUGUAAAGUACUUUCAGCGGGGAGGCGUUACCAGCAGAAGAAGCACCGGCUAACUCCGUGCCAGCCGCCGCGGUAAUAC